rnacentral:rRNA from 1 species
UUUGGUAUGGGGCGGAGCCUGAUCAGCCAUGCCGCGUGCAGGAUGACUGCCCUAUGGGUUGUAAACUGCUUUUGUCCAGGAAUAAACCUAAAUACGUGUAUUUAGCUGAAUGUACUGGAAGAAUAAGGAUCGGCUAACUCCGUGCCAGCAGCCGCGGUAAUACGGAGGAUCCGAGCGUUAUCCGGAUUUAUUGGGUUUAAAGGGUGCGUAGGCGGCCUAUUAAGUCAGGGGUGAAAUACGGUGGCUCAACCAUCGCAGUGCCUUUGAUACUGAUGGGCUUGAAUCCAUUUGAAGUGGGCGGAAUAAGACAAGUAGCGGUGAAAUGCAUAGAUAUGUCUUAGAACUCCGAUUGCGAAGGCAGCUCACUAAGCUGGUAUUGACGCUGAUGCACGAAAGCGUGGGGAUCGAACAGGAUUAGAUACCCUGGUAGUCCACGCCCUAAACGAUGAUAACUCGAUGUUGGCGAUAGACAGCCAGCGUCCCAGCGAAAGCGUUAAGUUAUCCACCUGGGGAGUACGCCCGCAAGGGUGAAACUCAAAGAAAUUUGACGGA